UUGAAACCUCUUCUUUCAAAAUAUGUUUCUCCUUGGCUAGCAGCGUUAUGUACCGUGACGUAAUAUCAUGGAUAACGCGUUGAGUGGCAAUUUCUUAUUCAAAUUUUGCAAAACUUGGGGUUCAGUGAGAAGUGGUGUUCUUUGGUUUAUCAAUGUAUUAUUAGUACCACGACUAUUUCUUUGUUGCUCAAUGGUUCUCCAACAGCCACUUUUUAUCCUUCAAGUGGUCUUCAUCAAUGUGAUCCUACUUCACCUUAUCUUUUUAUUCUGGAAGGCUUCCGAGGCAUCAUUUCCAAUUCUGUUUCUUCUAAUGUUAUUCUGCCAGCUCCUCAGAAAUCUAGCAUUCAAUUUUGUUCAUACUCAAGUCCUAGUGCUAGACGGGAUGUUUCUCAUAUGCUGAACAUGAAGCCUAUGCCACUCCAUGGAAAAUGUUUAGGAAUCAGUCUUUUUAUCUCUAGGAACAAGACCAGAUUCUAAGCUUCCGUAGUGGCAAGGUAAAUAAAUCAAUCAAAUCAGUCCAAGUACUCAAAUACAUUCAGCUCUGAUACUAUUGGUCAACAUCAGUUCCUUUGUAAAUCAAGGAAACAAAUAUCUACUUGUUUUUGCUUCUGCUAUUUGGUCUCAUAUGUUGCGGAUUGGACUUGGACAACUUUCAGAAAUCUAGCAUUCUUCUGUUACCAGUGCUCAUGCUUUCAACUGAAAAUUGGAUCCCUCCACUUUCUCCUCAUCAGGUGCAAGCCAUAUCUUCUAUUCAUUUAACGAUGACUGGUCAGAAUGUUCUCAGAUGGCAUAGUGAUAACUUCCAUAAUUUUAAAGACAUCAGAAAGUCUCCAGCUAGUGGUGGUUAUACAAGUAGCUGUUAAGGGCCUUAAGAGCAACCACGGUCACGACCAAAUUUAGGGACUAAACCCAAAUUUGGUCUCAAAAUGUGCCGCAACGGAAGGGACCAAACUCAAAUUUGGUUGCCAAAAUUAGGGUUUGAGACCAAAUGUGGUCGUCAACCCAGACUAAACGAAGAUAUAGUGGGACGGAAGUAUUAAUAGCGUAUGAAAGCAGGCGAGAUUUUAGUGACCGUAUGAAAUCAAACGAGAGUAUAAUUACCGUUUGAAGAUGGGGCGGUGAUACAAUUAGUGUAUGAAUCAGGCGCAUCUAUAAACUCCGCCUAACCGAAUGCAUGUAAUACAUACGCCCCAACACAGGCGUAGUUAUAUUGUACGCCUCAAUGGGACGUUAUUUUAAUGUACGCCCUAAUGGGACGUU